GUGCCCGGGGCGGAGCGCGGCGGCGGCGGCGGCCAUGGCCGGGGGCCGGCGGGGCCGGGGCGCGCUGGCGGAGCCGCGGCGGCUGAUGCGCACCGGGCUGGGGCUGAUCGUGCUGGGCCACGGCAGCCUGGUGCUGGGCGCCAUCGUGCACGGCUCGGUGCUGCGGCACGUGGCCGGCGCCCGGCGCGCCGGCACCCCCGAGUACGCGGCGGCCAACGUGGUGUCGGUGUGCUCGGGGCUGCUGAGCAUCGCCGCGGGCAUCGUGGCCAUCCUGGUGUCGCACAACCUGUCGCGGGCGGCCCUGCACUGGGCCCUGCUGAGCGUGUCGCUGCUAAACUGCCUGCUGUCCACGGCGUGCAGCGUGGGGCUGGCGCUGGCCGUGGCCCUCACGGUGCACAGCCGGGGCACGCACCUGGUCAGGGGCUGCAACAGCUCGGCGCUGCCUCUGGACGCCCGCGCGGCCAUCGCCACCAACGACUGUCCCUUCAACACCACGCGCAUCUACUCUCUGCUGAGUGUGUUCAGGCAGCCGGUGCAGUGCCCACGCUCCUCUGCCCCUUGCUCUGCAGGACACAGCCCUGGCGCUCUGGAUCCCCUCCCUGCUGCUGGCAGCUGCAGAAGCCGUGCUCUCGGGCCGGAGCUGCUUGGUGGCUCUGCUCUUCCGGGGCCUCUGGCCCUGUGCACGCAGCUAUGGCACACAGCAGCUGGCCAGGCCAAGUACAGCAAUGGAGAAGCCACUCCGUGAGAGGCAGCAGCUCCUGGCAGGACUUGCUGAGUCUCCUGCAUAGCUGGAGAGGUGGUGCUGCAGCAGUGCUGUGACCCAGCAGGGUCGGGGCGAGGUGCUGUCACACCUUCUGCAGGGUUGGUGUGUGUAAGGUGGGCUGCAGGGGUGAGGGGUGUGCCUUGCCCCCUGCCCCCAGCUGGGACAGAGCCUGCAGCUGCCUGGGCCCCACAUGCUCUGCCAUCCCCUCCCCAAGCUGCCAGGCCCUUCCUGCUGUCCUGAAGGCUGCGUUGGUUUCUGUCAGCAGAGAUGGGCUGGGCAGAGGUGCUGGGCCCAAGUCCUGGUGCCAUUGCAGGCAGGGCAGCUGGCUGUGCCUAUGCUCAGACAUGUCAGGGAACAGAAGGGGAAGAUUCCCCAUCAUAUGGAUCUCUCAUUUUCUUGAAUAAACAAAUUUUCCUUUUCA